rnacentral:rRNA from 1 species
CCUACGGGAGGCAGCAGUGACGAAUAUUGGUCAACGGAGGCAACUCUGAACCAACCAUGCCGCGUGCAGUGAUGACUGCCCUAUGGGUUGUAAACUGCUUUUAUACAGGAAAAAACCGCGCUACGUGUAGCAUCUUGACGGUACUGUAAGAAUAAGGACCGGCUAACUCCGUGCCAGCAGCCGCGGUAAUACGGAGGGUCCGAGCGUUAUCCGGAAUCAUUGGGUUUAAAGGGUCCGCAGGCGGACAAUUAAGUCAAAGGUGAAAGCCCAUCUCUCAACUAUGGAACUGCCUUUGAUACUGGUUGACUUGAGUUAUACGGAAGUAGAUAAAAUAAGUAGUGUAGCGGUGAAAUGCAUAGAUAUUACUUAAAAUACCGAUUGCGAAGGCAGUCUACUACGUAUAUACUGACGCUGAGGGACGAAAGCGUGGGGAGCGAACAGGAUUAGAUACCCCUGGUAG